UUACGGCCAUAUCACGUUGAAACUGCGGCCCCCGUGAGAUUACCGAAGUUAAGCAACGCUGAGCCUGGUCAGUAACUUAAUGGGUAACCACUUGGGAAUAUCAGGUGUUGU